CAUCCUGUUCUCCUGCUGUGCCCAACUGUGCAAAGUUUGAGCGCUUCUCUGAAUGUUUUCCCAUCAGUAAGACUCAACUGAUCUUUAGAGUGAGCAAAAAUGACACCCUGGAUAAAUCUUAUCUUCUUAUUAGUAGUCCUCAGAGGUGUCCAGUCAGAGGUCCAGUUGGUGGAGUCUGGAGGGGAUGUGAGAAGACCUGGAGAUUCCCUCCGUCUCUCCUGCCAAGGCUCUGGAUUCUCCUUCAGCAGCUACGACAUGAGCUGGGUGAGGCAGUAUCCAGGGAAAGGACUGGAAUGGGUGGCAUCCAUAUGGCCUGAUUCCAGCAGUAUUUACUACUCAGACAAGGUCAAGGGACGCUUCACCAUCUCCAGGGACAAUGCCAAUAACCAGCUGUAUUUGCAAAUGAACAACCUCAAGCCAGAGGACACAGGACGCUAUUACUGCGCAAGACACAGUGAGAAGAAGUCCAUCUGA